AUGGAUGGCGGCUGCUUAACAUGCAGUCGAACGGCAGCGGGUCCUUCGGGAUGCCGGCGAGUGGCGAACGGGUGAGUAAUGCAUCGGAACGUACCCAGUAGUGGGGGAUAACUUACCGAAAGGUAAGCUAAUACCGCAUACGCACUGAGGUGGAAAGCAGGGGACCGCAAGGCCUUGCGCUAUUGGAGCGGCCGAUGUCGGAUUAGCUAGUUGGUGGGGUAAAGGCCUACCAAGGCGACGAUCCGUAGCGGGUCUGAGAGGAUGAUCCGCCACACUGGAACUGAGACACGGUCCAGACUCCUACGGGAGGCAGCAGUGGGGAAUUUUGGACAAUGGGCGCAAGCCUGAUCCAGCCAUGCCGCGUGAGUGAAGAAGGCCUUCGGGUUGUAAAGCUCUUUCGGCCGGGAAGAAAUCGUGGUGGCGAAUACCUGCCAUGGAUGACGGUACCGGACUAAGAAGCACCGGCUAACUACGUGCCAGCAGCCGCGGUAAUACGUAGGGUGCGAGCGUUAAUCGGAAUUACUGGGCGUAAAGCGUGCGCAGGCGGUUGUGUAAGACAGGCGUGAAAUCCCCGGGCUCAACCUGGGAACUGCGCUUGUGACUGCACGGCUAGAGUACGGCAGAGGGGGGUGGAAUUCCACGUGUAGCAGUGAAAUGCGUAGAGAUGUGGAGGAACACCGAUGGCGAAGGCAGCCCCCUGGGUCGAUACUGACGCUCAUGCACGAAAGCGUGGGGAGCAAACAGGAUUAGAUACCCUGGUAGUCCACGCCCUAAACGAUGUCGACUAGUUGUUGGAGGGGUAAAACCCUUUAGUAACGUAGCUAACGCGUGAAGUCGACCGCCUGGGGAGUACGGCCGCAAGGUUAAAACUCAAAGGAAUUGACGGGGACCCGCACAAGCGGUGGAUGAUGUGGAUUAUUCGAUGCAACGCGAAAACCUUACCUACUCUUGACAUGCCAGGACUUGCAGAGAUGCUGUGCCGCAGGACUGACACAGUGCUGCAUGCUGUCGUCAGCUCGUGUCGUG
rnacentral:rRNA from 1 species